AUCAUCUAAAGAAAUUUGGGGUUGCCUCUAGAUGAUAUAAAUUGCUUUCGUUCAAGCUAUGUAGAAGAAACCUCCUGUAUCUCGGCGUACCUUUCUCUUCUCCUUAAUACCACGGACAACCUUGAUGGCUACCAUCUCUUUUUUCCCUGUCCCAGCAUUCUAAAACCUGACCAAAUGUCCCUGAAAUAAAUUAUACAAAAGACGAAGCAGAAUGAUGAAGAUGACAUUAACAUUUCUUAAUCAGAAGGAAAUAAAAAAUAAACAAUAUCAAGAUUGAUUAUGCUCCCUAACUCAACAGGGAUCCACCCUUUGAAAUUGUUCGAUGAGAAGUUUC